GGACAGAUGAAUUAGUUGUCUUCCAAGGUCAAACGCUGAUUGCCUUAUUACUCUAUUACUUCACUGUUGUGAAACUGUUACCGCUGACACUUUUUCAUGAUAUUCUGUACAUCCACAAAAGAAAGGCAGUGAGUGGGGGAGUGAGAGAGAUACAAAUUGAUUGUUUGGCGGCCAAAUCAGUCAUAGUCAUCUUCGGUGGAUGGAUUAAUGGGUUUGAUGGCUGUUGCAGGUUCAGGCAGGGAGACGCGCUGAGAACAAGAGAAAUUGGUUUGGGCCCCCGGGAGCUGAAUCGAUGCCUAAGGAGGUCAACAGCUGUGACAAAAAAUCAAAAUCCAUUUUCUGUGGCCAAAUGUAAGGAGGACCAAAUGGUGGAUGUUCCAUUCAUCUCUUAGUGCUGCCUGAGCACUCUUCCACCAGAGGCAGCAAGCCUGCUAAAGCAGGUGGAAAAGCUGGGGGGGAACUUUAUCUGAAGAAGAACUGCACAAGGCUAGUGGUCACAGAGACAGUGUGCUUUUGAGCUUUUGUUCUAUUUGCACUGGUGGUAAGUGUAUCUAGU
ensembl:lncRNA